rnacentral:rRNA from 1 species
UACGUAGGGUGCGAGCGUUGUCCGGAAUUAUUGGGCGUAAAGAGCUUGUAGGCGGUUUGUCGCGUCUGCUGUGAAAAUCCGUGGCUCAACCCCGGACUUGCAGUGGGUACGGGCAGACUAGAGUGUGGUAGGGGAGACUGGAAUUCCUGGUGUAGCGGUGAAAUGCGCAGAUAUCAGGAGGAACACCGAUGGCGAAGGCAGGUCUCUGGGCCACUACUGACGCUGAGAAGCGAAAGCAUGGGGAGCGAACAGG